rnacentral:rRNA from 1 species
UACUACUUCUGUAAUUUUCUUAUGGGGCGAACAUUGUUCAGAAAUAAUAGAGCGUAAGGGUGUAUCUGGCGGCUAUAUAAGUUCGGUUUGAAAAUCUUCGGGCUUAAACCCGAGAACUGCACUUGAUACUGUAUAGCUUGAGGGCAGGAGAGGAGAGCGGAAUAUGUGGUGUAGCGGUGAAAUGCGUAGAUAUCACAUAGAACACCGGUGGUGAAGGCGGCUCUCUGGCCUGACUCUGACGCUGACGCGCGAAAGCUAGGGUAGCGAACGGGAUUAGAUACCCCGGUAGUCCUAGCCGUAAACGAUGGGUACUAAGUGUAGGAGGUUAUUGACCCCUUUUGUGCUGUAGCUAACGCAUUAAGUACCCCGCCUGGGGACUAUGGCCGCAAGGCUAAAACUCAAAGUAAUUGACGGGGGCCCGCACAAGCGGUGGAGCAUGCCGCUUAAUUCGAAGCAACGCGAAGAACCUUAUCCAGUGGCUUGACAUCCUCUGACCGCUGUGGAAACACAGUUUUCUCUUCGGAGACAGAGUGACAGGUGCUGCAUGGCAGUCGUCAGCUCGUGUCGUGAGAUGUUGGGUUAAGUCCCGCAACGAGCGCAACCCUUAUCUCUAGUUGCCAGCGGGUGAUGCCGGGGACUCUAGAGAGACUGCCGGCGAUAAGCCGGAGGAAGGUGGGGAUGACGUCAUGUCCUCAUGGCCCUUAUGCCCUGGGCUGCACGCGUGCUACAAUGGCCGGUACAGCGGGUCGUGAAACCGCGAGGUGGAACUAAUCCCUAAAAACCGGUCUCAGUUGGGAUUGUAGUCUGCAACUCGACUACAUGAACGUGGAAUCGCUAGUAAUCGCGAAUCAGCAGGUCGCGGUGAAUACGUUCCCGGGCCUUGUACACACCGCCCGUCACACCACGAAAGUCGGUGGCAUUCGAAGCCGGUGGGCUAACUCCUUUCUGGAGAGGCAGCCGUCGAAGGUGAAACCGAUGAUUGGGGUGAAGUCGUAACAAGGUAGCCGUA